GGUCCCGUAGUUUAGUUGAAUAGAACGGCAGAUUCCGGUUCUGCAGGUCACAGGUUUGAGUCCUGUCGGGAUCAC
rnacentral:tRNA from 1 species